rnacentral:rRNA from 1 species
UACAGAGGUGCCGAGCGUUAGGCGGAAUCACUGGGCUUAAAGCGUGUGUAGGCGGACGUCUAAGUACCUUGUGAAAUUCCACGGCUCACCCGUGGAACUGCUGGGUAUACUGGGCGUCUUGAGCCACCUAGGGGCCAGCGGAACAAAUGGUGGAGCGGUGAAAUGCGUAGAUAUCAUUUGGAACGCCAACGGUGAAAGCAGCUGGCUGGGGGUGUGCUGACGCUGAGACACGAAAGCCAGGGGAGCGAACGGG